UAAUCCUGCUCAGUACGAGAGGAACCGCAGGUUCAGACCUUUGGUGUAUGUGCUUGGCUGAGGAGCCAAUGGGGCAAAGCUACCAUCUGUGGGAUUUUGACUGAACGCCUCUAAGUCAGAAUCUGUA
rnacentral:rRNA from 1 species